CUAAGAAGACAAAACAAAAAACAACCACAAAAAGCCAAGUUCCUGGACCAGAGAUCAAACCCGUGCCACCGCAGUGACAACAGCAGAUCCCUAACCUGCCUAGGGAGCCCCUGGCCCCCCGGGUGUAGAACCUCCCCAGCUCUGCAAGGGAAGCAACUAGAGGGACAAAGGUCUAGCGACGCCCAGCGUCUGAGCCGACCGUGCAGGGAUGUAAAGGCGGGGCGGGCAGCUCUUCCCACAGUGAAAGGUCUCAGCUGAAGCGGCUCGGAGACCGCACUUCCGCGGGGUAUGUCCUCCAACCAGCGGAGGAACAAAGAAAAUGCUGCCAAACCCUCCGCAGCUUCCACCCCCUCCUGCCUCAGCACAGACCAGAGAAAGGAAAGCUGCACCCGCCCGGCAGGGAGGAUUCUGCGGGGAGCAUCUGAGAGACAAGAGGGGAGCCAGAGGGCCACGGUGGGCACGUGGCACUCCCGUGGCAGCGGCCUGCGCUGUGGCACCCUAUCCAGACCGGUUCCAAGCCCCACGAGGUCCAAACCAGUUUCCCCUGGUCCCCAAGCACACACUGUCCUACCGCCCCCGCCCAGCCACCUGCGCCUGCCCGCGUUCAGCCCCUCUCCCCAUCACCGUAUUCCCACAGGUCCGCUCUAGAGUUCCCUUUGCUCCCCGGCUGAAUUCCAACAAUCUGCUAUAAAGAGAAGAACCGCAGCCUCAGAUCCGGGGCCCGGCUUUCCUUUAGGGAUUGGAUGGAACAAGACCUGGCAACAUCCGGAAAGAAGAGAGGGUGGCAGUGGGAGCAGCAGGGAGCUGGUCCUGAGAGCUGCUGGCCUGGAGCCGCUACAGAUCCUGCCAGUGGAAGCUGGGCACCAAAAACUGAGUUGGGGCACUGCAACUCCUCAGAGGGACCCGAAGUCCCCUCAGACUAAAAGCCGAGAAGGUCCAGGCAAGGCAGGACGGCUGGGACAGGCCCCCGAAGAACUCCUCCCGUGGCUCUUUGAUCUUUGGGGUCACAUCCAAGGGCCCUCUUGCCAGAAAGGAGGCCGCUCUUCCAACACACCCACAGGGUUGCACACUAUCUCAGAAGGCUUGCAGAACCCGUGAGGUUCGCCAUGGCUUCUUGGGGGUGCAAGACCCGGUUUAAGUGGCCGUCUACCCUAUGGGGGUGGGCAUGGACCUGCUUUCCUAGGUCUGAGAGUCUGUCCUUCGCCAGGACUGCUAAGACAGCUCUACUUAAAACUGCGUGUUUAUCAUAUAAAAUACUAGCCUUUUUCCCCAGGAGACGGGCAAAAGGAGACGCACCACUAGACAGCUAAGCCGAGAGAUCCAACAGUGCUGCUAGGGCGGGAGCUAAAGACGUGCAGGACACACCGGUGACUUGUUAAGGUCAGUGACUUUCUUCCGGCUGCGCCCAGGGCACAUGGAAGUUCCUGGGCCAGGGAUUAAACCGGAGCCGUAACUGCGACCUACGCUGCAGCUGUGGCAGCGCCAGAUCCUUUUAACCUGCUAUGCCGGCCUGGGGAUCAGACCUGCACCUCCACAGUGACCCAAGCCGCUGCAGUUGGAUUCUUAACCCACUGUGCCACAGUGGGAACUCCUAGUCAGUGACUUUUGGUCCUUAAAAUUUUUGUCAGCAUAAGACUCUCAGAACUUUUUUCUCUUACAAGAAACUAGAGUAGUGGUGGCUGAUGGCCAUCUCCAUGGAAACAGUGCCAUGCCAGCCGGGAUCUCCAUGGAAACAGUGCCCUGCCAGCCGGGAUCUCCAUGGAAACAGUGCCCUGCCAGCCGGGAUGUCCAUGGAAACAGUGCCCUGCCAGCCGGGAUGUCCAUGGAAACAGUGCCCUGCCAGCCGGGAUCUCCAUGGAAACAGUGCCCUGCCAGCCGGGAUGUCAGCGCAGCAGACAGCAGCACCUCACCCCAAGAAGAGGUCCCCGAGGUGGGUGGCGGGACGGCGCCUGUCCUGAGGGGCGCAGCAGUGAGGCGGCCCCUCCAGGGCUCCCUGCCAGGAGCCUGGUGCCACCUGCUCAGGGUGCCUCUCCCGCAGGAGCCACAGAACGCGGCUGGCUUUGGGCAAACGUGUCCUAGCCUCUCUGCUAUCUUCUCUUACAUGAGUGACAUUUUGUUCCACUUCUUAAUGCCUAUAAGAAGGGAUUCUCUUCACUUCAAAUCUCUCCCUUUAUUAUCAUAAUUAGGCUUUACUCGGAAAGCAAGCAGUAAAAACUCUUCAGACAAGCAUCAUUACUUUGCGGCUUUCGGGCAAGAGAG